AUAUUGGUGGUUUAGUGGUAGAAUUCUUACCUUCCAUGGAGGAGACCCGGAUUUGAUUCCCAGCCAAUGCA
rnacentral:tRNA from 1 species